rfam:Staphylococcus aureus subsp. aureus NCTC 8325, complete genome.
UAGAACCUUUUCUGGGGAGUGGGACAGAAAUGAUAUUUUCGCAAAAUUUAUUUCGCCGUCCCACCCCAACUUGCAUUGUCUGUAGAAAUUGGGAAUCCAAUUUCUCUUUGUUGGGGCCCCGCCCCAACUCGCAUUGCCUGUAGAAUUUCUUUUCGAAAUUCUCUGUGUUGGGGCCCCUGACUAGAAUUGAAAAAAGCUUAUUACAAGCGCAUUUUCGUUCAGUCAAUUACUGCCAAUAUAACUUCGUAGAUCAUAGAACAUUGAUUUAU